CUAAAGGCCUUUUUAAAGGCCAUAGUUUGCUGAGUUCCUAUGGUUU
rfam:Anolis carolinensis chromosome 2, whole genome shotgun sequence.